rnacentral:tRNA from 1 species
CGGGACGUAGCGCAGCCUGGUAGCGCGCACGCUUGGGGUGCGUGAGGUCGUGAGUUCGAAUCUCGCCGUCCCGA